CAGCAGUCGCCACGGUAAUACAGAGGGUGCGAGCGUUAAUCGGAUUUACUGGGCGUAAAGCGUGCGUAGGCGGCUUUUUAAGUCGGAUGUGAAAUCCCUGGGCUUAACUUAGGAAUUGCAUUCGAUACUGGGAAGCUAGAGUAUGGGAGAGGAUGGUAGAAUUCCAGGUGUAGCGGUGAAAUGCGUAGAGAUCUGGAGGAAUACCGAUGGCGAAGGCAGCCAUCUGGCCUAAUACUGACGCUGAGGUACGAAAGCAUGGGGAGCAAACAGGAUUAGAUACCCCUGUAGUCCCUGUCUCUUAUAA
rnacentral:rRNA from 1 species